AGUGAAGUUAAGGAUGUCAGGGAACUCUAAAGCCAGGUUGGUACAUUAUUAAAAGCCAUGGGCCCUGACAUCACACAUGAUGAUUAUAAUGUGAAGAGACGAGACUGAGACUAUAAAGAAAGACCAGGAGUGAGCUAACUUGAAUGAUACCAAGGAAGAUGAUAUAAUAUGAAGUAUAUCCUCAUCUGGUAAAGACAGACAGAACUCUGAAGUGGAAAGAGCACUUGUCAAGAUAUCAGGAGAUGACGGCUUUGUGAGUUCUGUCACUAACCAGUGUAUGUUCUUGACCAAAUAAUUUUACCUCUCUCAACCUUGGUUGCUCCAUCCACCAAACGAUAGCGAUCUGAAUUCGUCAGCUUCUUUUCUAUUAUGACACUUGAUUACUUCAUCACCAGAAGCUGAGCUCCCAGCUUGAGUAUGCAACAUGUCUGGACAUGUUUGGCUAAUUACUGUGGCAGCCAGCCUGCUGGCCAUUGCAGAAUGACCCAGAUGCUUCCUGAGAGAACUCAGGUUUAAGGAAGAGAAAACCAAACUCCAGGAGUCUGACAGCAACAAAGCCUUAGUUGACAGAAAGGUAGUUAUUUUGGAUGCAUAAGUGUUUAUUAUUCUUAUUUGCCUCCUAACUCCAUGUCUAAGUUCAAGAAAAAGCAAAUUAAUUAAUAAAAACCAAAAGACUGGGUUUGCUAAACAACUUUUAAAAAUAUAGGGUCAAAACUGUUUUGUACAUAAUGAAAGAAAUUAUAGAUGACACAAACAGAAAAACAUUUCAUGCUUAUGAAUCAGAAUUAACAGUGUAAAAAUGGCCAUUGUGCCCAAAGCAAUCUAAAUAUUCAGUGCAUUAUCAUUAUCAAAAUGCCAAUGUUGUUUUUCACAGAAUUAGAAAAAAACAUCCUAAAAUUUAUAUGGAACCAAAGAAGAGCCCAAAUACAAAAAGAACAAAGCUGGAAGCAUCACAUUACCUGAAUUGAAAUUAUAUUAUAAGACUGUAGUAACCAAAACAGCAUGGUACUGUUAUAAAAAUAGACACAUAAAUCAAUAGAACAGAAUAGAGAACCCAAAAAUAAAGGCACAUAUUUAUAGCCAACUGAUCUUUGAUAAAGUCAACAAGAAGACACAUUAGGGAAAGGACACUCUUUUCAAUAAAUGGUGCUGGGAAAAUUGGAUAGCCACAUGCAAAAGAAUUAAACUGGACUCCUAUCUCUUACAAUAUACAAAAAUCAACUCAAGAUGAAUUAACAACUAAAACAUAAAACCCCAAACUAUAAAAAUACUAGAAGAAAACCUAGUGAAAACUCUCCUGGACAUUGAUCUAGUCAAAGAACUUGUAACCAAGACCUCAAAAACACACACAACAGCAGCAAAAAUAGACAAAUGAGACAAAUUAAAAUGUUUCUGUGUGACAAAAAAUAAUAAUAACGAUCAAUAGACUGAACUGAUAACCUUCAGAAUAAGAGAAAAUAUUUACAAACUAUUCAUCUGAUGAAGGAUUAAUAUACAGAAUAUAUAAGGAACUCAAACAACUCCAAAAAAUCACCCCACAAAUAAUCCUAUUAAAAAGUGGGCAAAGAGGCCAAGCAUAAUGGUUCAUGCCCGCAAUCCCAGCACUUCAGAAGGCUGAGGUGGGAGGACUGCUUAAGCCCAGGAGUGUGAGACCAUCCUGGGCAACACAGCAAGACCACCCACCUUCCCCCCAUCUCUGCAAAAAAUAAAAAACUAAGCGGGCAUGGUGGUGCACACUAUAGUCCCAGCUAUUCAGGAGGCUGAGGUUGGAGGAUCAUUUGAGCCUGGGAAGUUGAGGCUGCAGUGAGCCAUGAUUGUGUCACUGUACUCCUGUACUCCAGCCUGGGCAACAGAGUGAGACCCUGUCUCAAAAACAAACAAACAAACAAAAAAGGUGAGCAAAGAAUGUGAAUAGAAAUUUUUUAAAAGAAGACAUACAAAUGGCCAACAGGUAUACGAAAAAACGCUCAACAUCACUAAUCAUCACAGAAAUGCAAAUUAAGUCAGAAUGGCUAUUAAUAAAAAGUCAAGAAAUAAGAAUCACUGAUGAGGAUGCAGAGAAAAGGGAAUUCCUAUACACUGUUGUUAGGAAUGUAAAUUAGUGCAACCUGUAUGGGAAACAGUAUGGAGACUUCUCAAAGAGCUAAAAAUAGAACUACCAUUUGAUCUACCAAUCUCACUACUGGGUAUCUACCCAAAAGAAAAGAAAUCAGUAUAACAAAAAGAUUCUUGUACUCACAUUUAUCACAGCACUAUUCACAACAGCAGUCAUGGAAUCAACAUAAGUAUCCAUCAACAUAUAAUUGGAUAAAGAAAAUAUGGUGUGUAUACAUAAUGGAAUACUAUUUGGCCAUAUAAAGAAUAAAAUUGUGUUUUUUGUAGCAACAUGGAUGGAACUGAAAGUCAUUAUUUUAAGGGAAACAAGUUAUACAGAGAAAGUCAAAUAUCACAUGUUCUCAUAAGUGGGAGAUAAAAAAAUGUAUACACAUAGACAGAGAGAGUAGAAAGAUAGACAACAGAGACUUGAAAAGAUGAGGGAAUACCAGGAGGAUGGAUGAGGAGAAAUUACCUAAUGAGUACAAUGUACAUUAUUUAGGUGAAAGAUACCUGAAAAGCCCUGACUUGACCAUUGUACAAUCUAUGCAUGUAACACAAUUUAAUUUGUACCCAUAAAUCUAGAUUUUUUUUAAAAAAAAAACAGUAUUUUGUGAUCCUUCUAACAAACUCUGAUGCAAAAGGAGAGAGGGCAUUUCUUCACUUUGCCUCAGUCAUAGCAGAAUCCUGGCAUCAAAAGGCCUCCUAUGUUUUUGCAUUGGUCAUUGAUGGAGGCCCAAAAUUACACACAAAGAAGUUGGGAUGCCCACAGAGCAAUAGUUGUACCAAGUAAGACAAGGCAAUAUCCAGUAAACGGCCACCAGAAUUUGGCAGUAUGUGGUCUCAGCACAGUAGUUUUGAUGAGAUAUCUCUG
rnacentral:lncRNA from 1 species